AGGACGAACGCUGGCGGCGUGCUUAACACAUGCAAGUCGAGCGGACAUCUUCGGAUGUUAGCGGCGAACGGGUGAGUAACACGUGGGCAACCUGCCCCUAGCUCUGGGAUAACUCCGGGAAACCGGGGCUAAAUACUGGAUAUGACCGAUCCAUGCAUGUGGGUUGGUGGAAAGUUUUUCGGCUAGGGAUGGGCCCGCGGCCUAUCAGCUUGUUGGUGGGGUGAUGGCCUACCAAGGCGACGACGGGUA
rnacentral:rRNA from 1 species